rfam:Musca domestica strain aabys unplaced genomic scaffold Scaffold20485, whole genome shotgun sequence.
UUGAAAGUUCCAUACUUCCUUGCAUUUAAUAGUAAAUAAUUUCAUCAUAUGGAAUGUAAAGAAGUAUGGAGCAGUAAC